rnacentral:lncRNA from 10 species
CUUUGAGAUGAUUGACACGUUAAAUGCGGCCUCCUGUGCCGCCCUGGGGCGCCACUCUCACUGGGUUCUUGGCGGAGCUCACCCUACUCCACCUGCUCAGCCCAGGCUCCUGUGCCCCGGAGCCAUGCCAUGGGAGCGAGGACCUUGCCGCGGCCCUAGAUUUUUUUGAGACGGAAUCUUGCUCUGUCGCCCAGGCCGGACUGCGGACUGCAGUGGCGCAAUCUCGGCUCACUGCAAGCUCCGCUUCCCGGGUUCACGCCAUUCUCCUGCC